rnacentral:lncRNA from 1 species
GAUUGAUCCACAUGUAGUAAAGGCAAUGCACCAUUCUAAAGUAAUAACAAUUAUGGGUCAAAGAUCAAGGAAUGAAUUUAAGGUGAGUGUGAUGUGAUUGGAAGAGUUUAUUGAUAGGAUUCCAACUCAAGGAGAGGUGAUUCCAUUGUUUGCUAUUGUUGAGGAAGAAUGAGAAGGUGAGUACGUUUCUUGUACAUUAGUAGAGUAGCAUUAUUUUCUUUGUAGUUUUUGAUAAGACAAUGAGUUUACAAUGUAUGUUGGUAAUUUUGUUCUAAUUAUUUUUUGGCUUAGAAAAUUUUUUAGAUAGUGACUUGC